GACGAACGCUGGCGGCGUGCUUAACACAUGCAAGUCGAACGGAAAGGCCUCUUUCGGGGGGUACUCGGGUGGCGAACGGGUGAGUAACACGUGAGUAACCUGCCCUUGACUUUGGGAUAACUUCAGGAAACUGGGGCUAAUACCGGAUAGGAGCUCCUGCUGCAUGGUGGGGGUUGGAAAGUUUCGGCGGUUGGGGGUGGGCUCGCGGCUUAUCAGCUUGUUGGUGGGGGAGUGGCUUACCAAGGCGUUGACGGGUAGCCGGCCUGGGAGGGUGACCGGCCACAUUGGGACUGAGAUACGGCCCAGACUCCUACGGGAGGCAGCAGUGGGGAAUAUUGCACAAUGGGUGGAAGCCUGAUGCAGCAACGCCGUGUGCGGGAUGACGGCCUUCGGGUUGUAAACCGCUUUCGCUCAUGACGAAGCUUUGUGUGACGGUAGUGGGUAAAGAAGCACCGGCUAACUACGUG
rnacentral:rRNA from 1 species